rnacentral:rRNA from 1 species
UGGCGGACGGGUGAGUAACGCGUGGGUAACCUGCCUCAUACAGGGGGAUAACAGUUAGAAAUGACUGCUAAUACCGCAUAGGACCACAGCACCGCAUGGUGCAGGGGUAAAAACUCCGGUGGUAUGAGAUGGACCCGCGUCUGAUUAGGUAGUUGGUGGGGUAACGGCCUACCAAGCCGACGAUCAGUAGCCGACCUGAGAGGGUGACCGGCCACAUUGGGACUGAGACACGGCCCAA